rnacentral:sRNA from 1 species
AUGUUGCAGUUUCGGGGAAGGGUGAGAACCUUUGACAAGGUUCGAGCGAGCGAAAGCGAGCAACGUUGCGCAGCAACGGCCCGAAGGGUGAGGAACGAAGUGACGAAUAAUCCUUCCCCCACCACCA